rnacentral:rRNA from 1 species
CCUACGGGUGGCUGCAGUGGGGGAUAUUGCACAAUGGGGGAAACCCUGAUGCAGCGACGUCGCGUGAGUGAAGACGUAUCUCGGUAUGUAAAGCUUUAUCAGUAGGGAAGUAAAUGAUAGUACCUGACCAAGAAUCUCUGGCCAACUACGUGCCAGCAGCCGCGGUAAUACGGAGGGGGCAAGCGUUAUCCGGAUUUACUGGGUGUAAAGGGAGCGUAGAGGGUUAUGUAAGUCAGGAGUGAAAGCCCGCGGCCCAACCCCGAGACUGCAUUUGAAACUGUGUAACUGGAGUACAGGAGGGGCAGGCGGAAUUCCUGGUGUAGCGGUGAAAUGCGUAGAUAUCAGGAAGAACACCGACGGCGAAGGUAGCCUACUGGACUGAAACUGACAUUGAGGCUCGAAAGCGUGGGGAGCAAACAGGAUUAGAUACCCUUGUAGUC